rnacentral:sRNA from 1 species
UUUGGACAUCGUAGGUUUGUGUGGUCGCAUUGUACGUCAUCACCUGGACAUGUCACAUGACACCUUUGACAGAUUUAGAUCUAAUUCGUCACUAGUCAUUACCACAGGAGGACCAUAGCUGAAGACACGUGAAUCAGCAAUGACCUGGAGUCGAGACUUUUCUUUCCCAUUGGUCAUUU